GGAAAAGCUCCGAAAAGCUCGGCACAGCAAGCCCAACUGGGUGAGAUCCUGCAUGGCACGGGGAGGUAAACCCAACUGUGGGCUCACAGAAUGAAUGACAAGGGUGAACAUCAGCUUAAAGCCAGCUUUAUUUUUUGGUGGAAGAAGGACACGAUUUACUCAGAGGCAGAUCCAGGAUAAGCCAACCCUCUGCUAGAAAUCCAAAAUGUGUUUUAGAAGAAAUAUUCAACAGUUUUGCAGUGAAAUUGUUCACUUUUCUUGUAUAGCUGUGAUAGGAACUAGGGGGAUUAACAGACAGCAAAUCUCUGGAGAAAACAAAGAUUUUUUUUUAGGCUUGAAUUUUUUUUAGACUAAUUAUUGAUAUCCUUUCAAAAUAAUUAUGAAUUUUACACAGGACCAGAUCUCCACUGCACGGUUUCUGGUCACAAGAGAUGAGUGUAGCCAAGGGGAAGUGACUCAUGGCUGCCUGUGGUUGAAAUUAAUGAGAUUUUUAUCUGGAAAUAUUCCUGUUAGUGCCUUUUCUUUGUAGUCCGAGUCAGGACAAUAGCAUGGAAAUCAUCUUUGAGGAAAACGGUGACCUCACUGCGAUCGCUGCAGUAACUGGAGGCUCAGCGGCGAUAAGCACCGGAACAGCUGAGUUAUGGAUUUUGAGGCCAGAAAACCCCAUUCUGAACAGCCAGGCUGGCACGCUGCAGAAAGCAGCUUGGUUUUGCUCUCUGAUUCCUGCAACAACCCCACAAGUGGUAUUUAGCAGGGAGGGAGAAAGGAGAACACGAGGAGAAAGGAAAUCAGCCGGGGGAAGUUGGGAUGGGACAUUGUGCACAUGGACUUAUUUACUGCAGAUGGGAAAGCGCUAACUGCAGGCCUGCCUGGCAAAGCAAACUGCUCCAAAACCAAAAGCCCUUCCUUGUCGUGCAUCACCUUCUCUGCAAGGACGAGGUCUUGCAGGACAGCCUGUUUUAAACAGAAGUGGAGGAGAAAUCCUUCCCCUGCCUGUGCUGGGGGCUGCCACCUUCCCGGAGAGAAACAGCAGAGAACGUGCAGGCAGAAACCACAUCUUUCUGGGCUGCUUCAGCUCCCAGCCAGCUUAUUGAUCUGGAGGAAACGUCGGUGUUUCGGGAGCUUCCCAAAAAGGCACGGGGAGGCUGCGCGGCGCCCGUGCGUCACCGGGGCUGUUUUUAUCCAUGGAUUUUCCGGCGUGUUGAGCAGCGCCGGGUCGCCCAGGAGGGACCCUGGCAGAAUCUCCCCGCUGCGUGACUCAUCCUCGCGCGUCGGGGGAGCGCGGGCUGGCUCCGGCACGCUGCACUUUUCAACUCUGAUUCAUGCCACCCCAGGAGAGUAAAUAAGGCAACGCCGCACACGGCUCAGCUGCAAAGGUGUCAGGGCAAAUGACACCACCAGCGAAUAGUGUCACCUAUAAUGUUCCCAGCAAUUUCCUAAAUAGGGCAAAAUGCCUCGCUGCACCUCUGCCAGGAAUCCCGUCACAGCUUAGGAUACCUGCAGUCCUGCAUGUGCCAGGAGGGCUUUGCUGAACCGAAGGUGCUGGCCUGAUCUCACUGAGCUUAGGAGCCCGUUUGCUAAAGCCUGAGGAUGUUUAUUAGCAGUCUGGAUUUGUCACUUCUCAGGCUCUAUCUGCAGAUCGCUUUGGAAGGGUGAUUCAAAAAGUGAAGAGCCUCGUUUCUCUGGAUGUCUCCCAAAAGCAGGGUAACCCAGGUCACUGCUGCAGAAGGCGUUACUUGAUAUUGAUGUCUCUAGCACUGUAAAGACAAAAAUCGGGAGCAGAUUUUUUUAACAGGAUCUAAACUAAUUACAUCUCUAAAAUCGGUUGUUUGGGGAAAAACUCUUCAGCUGUCAUCACUGGUACCUGAACGCUGGUGAGUCAUCAAAUUACAUCCUUGGGUCUGGAAAUGGAUAGCUGGAUAACUAGAUGCCUAGUUGCCUGCUCAGCCAGUGAAGCAAUUCAGCUAAAAAACCUCACGUAUGGGUCAGAUGAUAUCUUUGCUCCAAUUUUACCCCAGUCCUGGCUCGCACCUUUGACCAAGGAAGCCUGAAGGAAGCCAAGGAAGUCUCCUUGUGCUUCCAGACAGCUUCUGCCCUGGGUUAGCUCCUGUAGUGCCCAUGCGCACAAGGCCCUGCAAACCCGGUGGUACAGCAGGAACAGCACUGCAGAAAACAUGGAAAGGGGGAAGCCCUAAACGUCUCCUGGUAGCAGGGUGUGAAUUUGUGCCCUUUGCUUAGGCUGAUCUGUCGUUAAGGAGACCAUGUAGAUAUCUGUCUAUUCCUGGAGCAAAUCAGCAUUACAGGUGACUUCUGAUUGCUGGUUGCUAAUGAGAGAGCAAAUUGUAUUCAGGUUAGCCAAACAGAGGGGCAAAAGUUAGUGAAUAAGGACUAAAUGAGCUGGGUGCCUAAUUGUCAGUGAAUGUCAGUUCCUCUGGUCCUUUGCUCCCUUGGGCUUCAAUCCCAGCCUUGUUCUCCAACCUGCAAGAGAGAAAUAUCCAGGGCAGCAUAAUUAGCGCAUGCUCUUCCACAUCUUAUAUGCUGUAAUGUUGUCUUUCUUUCAAAAUAAAACAAGAAAGACCCCCCCCCCCAUGUGAUUACAUGUUCUGUUCUUCCCUUCAAGCUUGUCAACAUGAAGCACAGAGAUUGCCUAAUCCAUUUUUGUUAUUUAAUUACGUGACUGCGGCGCGCUGCUCUGGCUUCUGUCCAUGCCCCGUCACAAUUGGCACUGCAUUCCUUCCCGGAGCCCAGGGACUCCAAAAACCUGUGGGGAAGCAAAGUGCCUCCCCACAUCCCUGUCAGGUGCCGCCAGGGAUUUGUGAUUGCUGGAGUUAAGGAAGCGACUUGAACCCCAGAGCUGGCGGUGUGGGGAGCAGAGGGACUCAGCAGAGCCCUUGGAGAGGAAGCAGGUAGAGGUAGAGGCUUUCAGCGUCCAUACCAGCCCCUGUGUGUCUGCCGGCCAGAGCCCGUGCCCUCUGUCAUUGACGGUUUCCUUGUGUGUGGCCAUCAGCAGUGCAACUGUGAGAUGCCGGCAAGUAAAUGAGAACAAGGAGAACUCGGUCCCCACUGGGUUAAACCAUGAGGCACAGAGUGCUUUUCCUCCUCUCCUUUCCAAGGAAACAGGCUGCCAUCAGGAUGGUGAACGCACGUAAAAACAAGGGCACAGGCAAAAAUACACAGAAGGAAGAGCUGAAGGCAAUCAAGAGGAUGGCAGCUGGGACCAUCGGGGUGAUGAGAGCUGGGCCUGGCAAAAAGUGAGACGUCCGAGUUGACCGGGACCGAGACAGCACAAGCCAAGAAGGGUGCACGCCUUGGAGAUGCUCCUGAAUGAUAUGGUUUUCCACAGGUACAGGUGCUGUUAUGUAUUGGGUUUUAUAACAAGCUUUUCACAUGCAGUGACUACACUGCCGAAGAUGAGCUCGAUGCAUAUCCCACAGGCCUGCUGGGGGGGUGGGAUGCUUCUGUGGUGUCCCCGGUGCCCACAAGGCUGCCCAGGCCACACAAAGCUGCGCAGCUCGUUGCAGCCUGCCUAGCAUGUCCUAAUUGUGUUUCUCAGAAGCCCUCACUGUUUUCAGCUGAUUUGCUUUGACAUCAGCAGCCGGCAAGAAGUUCUCUGUGUCGGGGUGUGUGGGAGUGCUAUGUGACACCUUAAUCAUGCUAAACAGGAACACACAUUCAGAUUUCCUCGGUGUUUCAAAGAAAUGUGAUUUCCUUUGUGCUGCAAAGAACGAGUUGACUUGAUUGCGACUCACUGUGGAGAUGGGCUGUGUUGCGUGUGAAUUAGGGUGCAAGGAUCUAAUUCUGGGAGAAAAAGGGAGAUAAAAGAUCCUUGACUUUCUAGCUGCAACCAUUGGGGUCAAUUUUCUUGCUGCUAUCUGGGGGUCGUUUUGAUGAUGGCUGUUUAACUGGGUUGGCCAAUGUAUUGAGAAAUGAGAUAUUGUGCAAAAAAACAACACAAAACCAAACCUGUAUGGAGUCAAAGUAUAAGCAAAUAUCAUACCAUAUCCCAGCUUCUGAAACAGUUGUUAGUCAUUUAGUGCAGGCAUUAGAAACUCAUUAAAAGUCCAAAAGAGUGGUUAACUCGUUAACUUAUUUCUCUUCCACGUACGGGUGAUGACCAUUCAAAACUCAAGCAGCGGUGGCUCAGUACAGAUUUAGCUGAGCAUUGCCUGGCCCAGAUGAGAUGAAAUAAAGGCAGAGAAGAUUCGCGAGAGCCCUGCCAGCGCAGAGCGGUGUGUGACGUAUGGUGGGGCUGUAUAGCUCGUGUGAUUUGUGACACGCAGCCAGGCUGUUGGAAAAGCUGAAUUUGCCGGUGUGCUCAUCCUGCUGACAGUCUCAUUCGCUCAGCCUUGCUCACACAGAGGCACAUGACUGCUUGGAUCGUCAGCAUGAAAAUGCCUUUCAUUUUUUUGUGAUUUGUGAGAUAAAGUUAAAAACUCUGCAUUUGGUAAAGUACUGUGCAUAAUAAUAACAAAAGCUGUUUGACCUGAUCAAAUAAUUUGAAUGAUUACGCUUGAUUCAGACAAUGGCUGUGUUCCUGCUAGCUGUGCCCAAAACAUCCUUCUGAAAUGUGGUAUUGUCCAGCAAUCACUGCCAUGGGUCAGUACCGUGUUCCACAGGGUUCAUUGGCCAUGUGAUAGUCAUUGCUGCAGUCCCUGCCCAGCCGUUUUAGUUUUCAGCAUGGAAUUAACAACUGCCUAGCCCUAUUCACGCAGUGUGCAAGAAGUAGGUCAGUGGAGCCAGCAGGAAGGAGUUCAGCCCUCUCUACCAGUCCCUUACCGGAGCGGCUGCUUCAAAAUAGCACCAGCCACGUUCCCCUUCCCGGCGUGACGUGACGGUGCCUUUUCCUUUCUAAGGAGACUGCUCUGGGACAGGGAAUGUCCCCUUCCAAAUGGGCUUUCUGUCACCUGCUGCUACUGCUGCCUUAUUUAAGCUCUCCAAGUUGCGUGCCUGGCUGCUGGCCUGUGUGGCAGGAGGUAGACCUGUGAUGGCACAUUUCUGUGCAGUUGCUAAACGCAAAGUGCUCGCGCUCCAUCAGAUAAAAUGCAUCUCCUUGCAUCUUGGUAUGGAUCAAAGAGCAGUGCUGGUGUCAGGUCAGGGUCCAUCGCUGCCCUGCCAGGCAGAGCAAGGCAUACAUUUGUCAGAGCUUGGGGACUGAUGUCGUUUCAGAGCGGUGGUUAAGCAUUCACAUGAAAUUACCUGCGUAAAAAAAAAUACAGUGCAGGGAGUGUUAGCUAAGCUCCGCUUAGAUCACUGCAGAUGUGUUAUUUUGGGAGAGUAUUCAUACUGUGCACUCCUUAUUCAGACAAACCGGCAAUUGACGUAAUUUUUUCCAUAAUGUUGCUUUUAUUUGAAAUCAUAUCUAUACAUCUUGUACAAAUCAAACUAAUAAUAAGCAUUUCCAUGACAGAUUCUACUUAUGGAUUAAUUUUGGAAUUUAGUUUAUAGACAUGAUUUGACUUCAGUGGGAUUUGCGUCCAUAAAAGGACUGCCACAACAGGGGACAAAUGCGAGAAAGUGGAUUUUUGUCUAUAAUUCACCAUAUUUGUUUGUGGAACCCUUAACAAUGUUCUAAUCUUCCAUCUGAAAACUGCCUUGUCACCUUUUGAUUUACAGCUUUUUCCUUUGCCUUUACUCUGCACUACUUCGUUGGUAUUUCUUACAAGGCAGGUAUUGUCAAAUCUCUUUCUUCAAACAUAUAAUAACCACCUUUUGUAGUGAACAGGCGUAUAAGUUACUCAGCUUAUAUGACAGAACAGAAAAUAAAGAGUUGAGAAUCUGGCAGAGAUGCCAAAGAGUGAUGUUAUUAUAACCUUACUGUGAAAGAUUUGCCAACAGAAAGUUACAUAUCGGUGAGGUAACCAACGGCAAUAUUUGCAGGAGAAGGCUUUAUUACACCAAAUAUUAAAAAACAUCAUUGUAUGGUGUAUUUACAGACAAAUCACACCUCUCUUAUCAAGAUGUUCAACAGCCAUCCCUAUGCAUAACAGACAGGAUUUAUAGCUUAAAUAGACCACAGGCAUGGAAGGACAUCAUAGGGUUUAUGCUUGUCAGUACUCCAGCCUGAUUGUUGAGACCUUCUUGGGAAUUUUCCCAUGUUGCUUGUUUUUAAGUGGAAAAUGUUGUUCCUGCGACAUUGAAAUCUUGCAGUUUCUCGGUUUUCCUUUAAGAAAAUUACACCAGGAUUAGAGUAGCUGUUUCAAGGCGGAGUGGUCCAAACGAAACCAAAUCACAGUACUUGUCUUUGACCAGUUUAAAACAUCAGCCCAUGCUUGCCUGUGCUGCCAUCAGAUGUAUGGGCUUUAUGUUCGGGCGCUUUGUCCCACCAGUUUCUGCAGCACGCUUCGCCUCCCAAGCCACUUGCGGUCAUCUUCUGGCUGGAGCAACGCAACCCACGAUGUCCCCAGCAGACACAGGGGACCUUUGGCAAUGUAGCUUGGGCAUGGAGGUAAAAGGAGGCCUUGUAGGAAGAGCUGAAGGCUUCAUUUUUAGGGGAAAAAAAGAUUACAGAGUCAAGAGGCAGCUCAGAGAAGAGUACAUGUAGCUGCCUCUUCACGUUGGGGUUAUCCACUCAGUCGAGUGCGGUCAAACAGAGCCCUCUGAAGCCUCGGGAGGAAGUGCUUUUCCCAAGGACAAGGCGGCGAGCACGGCACAGGCCCUGACACAGCAAAGCAGGGCGUUAUCUCCGCAGCUCCGCGCUGGGUGCCUGAGUGCACCCCGAGCAGCCCCGUUACCUAGCGAUGUGCGGGAGCGGGUGGCCCUUCCCGAACACCCCCUCCAGCACGCGGUCGAUAAUGAGCGACGUUAUCAUCAGCGCUUUCUGCUUGGUUUGCUGGCGCUUGUCAGCAGGCAGCUGACCUUGGAUGGAGGCUUAGCAUCAGCCUGGCUGAAGUUGGGGGGGGGGGGGGGCGCGAGGGGAGCUAAAAGCUCUGGGUGCUCACCAGGAGCGGCUAGCACCUGGUGCGCUGCUCCACCUCCUGGCAGCUGCUCAGCUCUGCAAGGGAAGAGUUAUGGCAGGGGUUUGG